rnacentral:rRNA from 1 species
GCAAGUCGAGCGGUAACAGGAAGUAGCUUGCUACAGAUGACGACCGGCGAACGGGUGCGUAACGCGUAUAGAAUCUGCCUUGUACAGGAGGAUAGCCUUUAGAAAUGAAGAUUAAUACUCCAUAAUGUAGUGAUUCGGCAUCGAAACACUAUUAAACAUUUAUGGGUACAAGAUGACUAUGCGUCCUAUUAGCUAGAUGGUAAGGUAAUGGCUUACCAUGGCAACGAUAGGUAGGGGGUCUGAGAGGAUUAUC